UACGGAGGGUGCGAGCGUUAAUCGGAAUAACUGGGCGUAAAGGGCACGCAGGCGGGUAUUUAAGUGUGAUGUGAAAUCCCCGAGCUUAACCUGGGAAUUGCAUUUGAGACUGGGAGUCUAGAGUACUUUAGGGAGGGGUAGAAUUCCACGUGUAGCGGUGAAAUGCGUAGAGAUGUGGAGGAAUACCGAAGGCGAAGGCGGCCCCUUGGGAAUGUACUGACGCUCAUGUGCGAAAGCGUGGGGAGCAAACAGG
rnacentral:rRNA from 1 species